AUGUUCAUAGCUUAAUGGUAGAGCAUUUACCUUCUAAGUAAAAGGUUAUGGGUUCGAGUCCUAUUGGGCGUA
rnacentral:tRNA from 1 species